AUAUAUUGUUCUCCGAGACACCGAAUUGAUACAAAAUGCUUAACAGGAACGACCAGUAGGUGGCAGACUGUUUUUUUUCUUCCGGAAAAAUCACCAGCAGUCAGACUGAGAGUCACGGGAAGAAUGGCGGCCCAUCUCUGUGGUCAGCGCCCCGAAGCCGUUGUAAUGCAGAAUCAACCAGUCUCUCAAUCCUGGAGCUGUUUGUCCAACAGUGAAGACCCAAGACCAGACUUCAGAGUGAACAGGAACUCUCCUGCGGUCUUCCUGAACCUCCUUGAUCAGGAUCGGUGACAUCGAUCAUCCUCCUGCAGGUGCUGGAGCUGCAUCACACUUCUGUACCUCAUGUUGUCACAGCGUGUGCUAUCCUCAACAACAUCUGCCUCUGUGGUGACGACACCGAGGCCCUAGAGGAAGAUGUGGAGGUGAUGAGGAGGAAGCUGGUUUGGAGGUCACCAGCAGUGCUCUCUGGCAGGACC